GAUAAUGAGCCUACCCUGGACCAGGAGGACCCAGUCCUUGUUCAGUAUGUGGUUGAGGAGGUUGGGCACCGGCCCUGUCUGGCUUUAAUCCCUUGGUCUGGACCUCUGUGGGUUCCCAGCUCUCCAACAUAUUACCUUACCCAAGCUGGGAGGAUGCUGGUGAGAGAGCUGGCAGUGUUAAACACGCAGGUAACCAUGCAGAUUAUUGGACAAAGCUCAUCUGAUCUAAUAGGCAGGAUUACCUUCAGUAUCCACUAUGGUAGUGAAAUACUUUGAUGUUCGUUCCCUCAUUUUCUCACAGAUAUUCACAGUGGAGCAGCCCAUUUUCAUCAGUUUCACUCCUGCUAGGAGGAUGGUAUGGAAUGAACUGUCCUCUCAAAAUGAACAGGUAGCCAUUCAUAUGCAGGUACCUCAGAUGUUUCCUUAACCUUUCAACACAGACCUGUGUAGUGUCUCAGAAUCUAUCAUGCAGUGGCCUCCUCUUGCGAUCCUCCCUAUUCCAGUCUGUCAGUCCUAUAGGCUACCUGUCUAUCAUUCAAACUGACUCUUAAUUGAAUCCUGUCUUGUUCCUUAGUAUGUGGAUGAGGAGGUUGGGCACCGGUCCUGUCCGGCUUUAAUCCCUUGGUCUGGACCCUUGUGUGUUCCUAUCUUUGUGAGUCUAUCCAUUCUGAUACUCUCUGGUCUUUAGAGGAUAUUAAAGAUUAACAUCAAGUCACUAGUUUUCUAUAAAACCACAUAAUGAAAAAACAUAUUC